UACGGAGGGGGCUAGCGUUGUUCGGAAUUACUGGGCGUAAAGCGCGCGUAGGCGGCCUGUUGCGUCCGCUGUGAAAUCCCAGGGCUCAACCCUGGGCGUGCAGUGGAUACGGGCAGGCUGGAGGCAGGCAGGGGAGAACGGAAUUCCCGGUGUAGCGGUGAAAUGCGCAGAUAUCGGUAGGAACACCAGUGGCGAAGGCGGUCUCCUGGGGCAUUCUUGA
rnacentral:rRNA from 1 species